AGUGAACGCUGGCGGUAGGCCUAACACAUGCAAGUCGAACGGCAGCACAGUAAGAGCUUGCUCUUACGGGUGGCGAGUGGCGGACGGGUGAGGAAUACAUCGGAAUCUACUUUUUCGUGGGGGAUAACGUAGGGAAACUUACGCUAAUACCGCAUACGACCUACGGGUGAAAGCAGGGGGUCUUCGGACCUUGCGCGAUUGAAUGAGCCGAUGUCGGAUUAGCUAGUUGGCGGGGUAAAGGCCCACCAAGGCGACGAUCCGUAGCUGGUCUGAGAGGAUGAUAAGCCACACUGGACCUGAGACCCGUCCCAGCCUCCUACGGGAGGCGGCAGUGGGAAUUAUUGGACAUUGGGCGCAAGCCUGAUCCAGCCAUCCCGCGUGGGUGAAGAAGGCCUUCGGGUUGUAAAGCCCUUUUGUGGGGAAAGAAAAGCAGCAGGUUAAUACCCCGCUGUUCUGACGGUACCCAAAGAAUAAGCACCGGCAAACUUCGU
rnacentral:rRNA from 1 species